ensembl:lncRNA
UUUAUUUGCAUGUAUGUGUAGCUCUAUUUAUAUGUAUUAUAUUAAAACUUAUGUGAUGUGUAUGCUAAAAAAAACUUUACUAUAACUCAUUACUGACAGGCAGAGGUAGGAAGUAACAAAGUAAAAAUAUUUUGUCUGUAAUUGAGUAGUUAUUUUUUUAGCAACUUUUUACUUUUACUCCCCUCAUUUUAAAAUAAAUCUCUGUAUGUUCUACUCCUUACAUUUACAAAAAACCUUUUGAAAGCAAUUUCACCACCAUCAUGUGUCAAAUAAAUUUCUCAGCUUGAACAAUAAGUUGAUUCAUCAGAUGAUGUUGCAGCAGUAAAUGGGCUGGGGUGUUUUUUAAGCAUUCAGGUUUUGCAUUUUCACAUAGAAUUCCUGUGAAGUAAAACAGGCAAAUAUCUGUGAAACAAAAGUGAAAGCCUGACGUAAAAAUGCAAGCGAAAAUAAUAGUUUCAUCAUCUCAGUUGACAUAAUAGGAACAACACUGGAACACACCUUAACACACCCACACACAUGGAGGAGAUGAGCAAAAUGGGAGGUGGAAACAGCAGUGUAUAUUUAAAGGACAAAGGAGCUCUGAUCAUUUAUUCAUUCACCAGCUUCUUUUCACAUUACAGGUAAGUCUGAAAAUUAAAACUGGUCAUCUCAUAGUUUAUUUUAAGACUUUUAGAAAAUGGUUUGAAAAUUUUACAAAAUGGUUGCAGUUCAGUAGUUUCAGCAUUUCUUUGUAAGUUGUGUGUUCUUCACACAUCUUGAUGUUGUAAAUCUUGUUAUUUAAAAUAAUAAUGAAGCUAGAAUUUAAAACUCUCCAGUGUGGAAAUGUAUUAUUCACCUCUUUUUCCUAACACGUAAAUUUCCUUUUUAGAGACAGAUUUAAACAGAACAGCGAUGGCAGCAGCAGCUUUGGCCUCAAGCAGUGGAGUGACUGUUUCCCGCACCACCAAAGGCCUUGUUCUCAUGUUCACCCUGCUGUGUCUGGUUUGCCUUUCAAGUGCCCUGAUAGACAAGGACCAACUGGAAAAACUGAAAGACGACUAUCAGAAAUCACACCAGCAACUAGAAAAACUGAAGAUUGUGUUCAAACAACAUGUGACUGACUCCAAACAACGAGUGACUGAGAUCAAACAACAAAGAGACUUCAUUACAGAGAUGUUGAAGAAAACUGAGGCUUACAUUGAUAGGGAGGAAGAGCGUUUGGGAGGAGAAAUAGAAGAAAUUGAAAAGAAUCUACAAAAACAGAAUGAAUUUAUUGAAUUCCUUGAGGAACUGCAAGCUGAAUUGUAACUUCUGUCUCAGUGAUUUCCCUUUUCUCUGAUUUUCCAUUUCUUUAGUUCCCUUAUCAUAUAGUACUUGUUUAAGUUUGGUUUAAUUUUUUUUUGAAGUGUCCCCCUUCUUUACAAUUUUACAUAAACUAGGAUUUUACUAUUAGCUAUCAUUGUCCAGAUGAUUUUAUGUGUUAAAGAUAAUGUUUAAGGAAUACAUUUACAGAAUUUAGAUUUUUUUUUUCAACCAUUACUUGAUUUCUGCAGUGGAAACAAUGUUUGUAUGACCUGUCAGAUAAUAAAAACAUUGACCUGCUACUGUUACUAUUUGUUGUCAGAAUAUCUAUCUCAAAAUAUACAACUUUUUUGCCGUAUCCCCAGCAGUCAGCCACAAAAAUGGAUUAACUAAAAUGCAUUUGACCGAUUUACAAAUUAUGUAAAGAUAAACAAAAUUGUUCAGUUUUAAAAUAUAUUUACAGAUUGCAUUUAUAAUUUAGUGCACUCUGUAGUGCUUCACUUUCUUUUCUCCUCAUGUUGUCGUUAAGGCAUUUGCAUGUGUCUCACAGCAACACUGUGCAUGUUCCUGUAAAGACAAACAGGCAAAUGAAGUUAUUUGUAAAACAAAUGUGAAGGCCUGAGCUUCAAAGUUAAGCUAAGAUGAAAGUCUUACUGCAUCUACACACAUACAAACACAGUGCA